AGGACGAACGCUGGCGGCGUGCUUAACACAUGCAAGUCGAGCGGAAAGGCCCUUCGGGGUACUCGAGCGGCGAACGGGUGAGUAACACGUGAGUAACCUGCCCUGGACUUUGGGAUAACCCUCGGAAACGGGGGCUAAUACCGGAUACGACGCACUCUCGCAUGGGAUGUGUGUGGAAAGUUUUUCGGUUUGGGAUGGGCUCGCGGACUAUCAGCUUGUUGGUGGGGUGAUGGCCUACCAAGGCGACGACGGUUA
rnacentral:rRNA from 1 species